AGGCUUGCCAGGGGGUCAGGCUGACCCUAGGGAAUUCCGGGGUGAGAGGCAGCGUGGGGCCUCAGGACCCAAGAUCCCCUUUCACUGCGGGACAGCAUGGCCAGGGACUUGCUGCCAUAGCCUGCGCCAGCCUGAGGUCCUGACGUUUCCAGCUGCCCCAGAGGACAUCACCCCUGUGCAGGUGGGGACCAGCCCCCAGGUAUUUCCAGUUCCAAACAUGAAGGCCAGCCUGGGCCCAACCUGGAGGCCUCGUGGGGGACUUCUGUGACUUGCUCCUAACCUCCUCCUCUUCUCCCCGAGAAAUUGUGACCGACCAGAAUCCUGGAAAAGCUGUUCCUCUAUUGAGUGAAUUUAAUGUGGGACGCAAGUGGAUCUGAGUGGUGCAGGAGAUGGACUGUAGUGGAUGCUAUUGGUGCCCUACCCAGAUUCUCUUUAUCAGACCAGUGCACCCAUCCUCCAGCUGCUGGAAUGAGGCUCCAUUCUGGGUCGGAUACCAGCCCUAGCACUCCAGUGCCUGCAGUGUAACAUCCUGGGUUUGAAGUCACGGAUGUGCUCCGUUGGCUGAGAGAUAUGGAUAGGAAAGCAGAUUGC